CAGAUGACUGAUGCCCGUCAAAAAGGUGAACGUGACAUAUACCCCCUUCAGCAGCAAGAAAGGAACCACGAAACAGAGGACUGAUGCCCGGUGAAAAGGUGAACGUGUCACAUACCCACGUCAGCUGCAAGAAUGGAACCACGAAACAGAGGACUGAUGCCCUGUGAAAAGGUGAACGUGACAUAUUCCCCCGUCAGCUGCAAGAAAGGAACCACGAAACAGG